rnacentral:rRNA from 1 species
GGAAGUAAAAGUCGUAACAAGGGUUUCCGUAGGUGAACCUGCGGAAGGAUCAUUAAUGAAUUUUGAAAGGGGUUGUAGCUGGCCUUUCCAGGCAUUUUGUGCACGCCCUGAUCAUCAUCCUCUCACACCUGUGCACAUUCUGUAGGUGGGCUGUCUGGCAAAGUCUUUGACGUCUUUGCUCUGUUGGCCCUCCUAUGUUUUAUUACAAACUUUACAGUUCAAAGAAUGUCUAUCGCGUCUAACGCAUUAUAUACAACUUUCAGCAACGGAUCUCUUGGCUCUCGCAUCGAUGAAGAACGCAGCGAAAUGCGAUAAGUAAUGUGAAUUGCAGAAUUCAGUGAAUCAUCGAAUCUUUGAACGCACCUUGCGCUCCUUGGUAUUCCGAGGAGCAUGCCUGUUUGAGUGUCGUGGAAUCAUCAACUCUAUUUGCUUUUGUGAAUAGAGCUUGGACUUGGAGGUUAAUUGCCGGAUGCAUCAGUGUCUGGCUCCUCUUGAAUAUAUUAGCUUGAACCUUUGUGGAUCAGCUUCGGUGUGAUAAUUGUCUACGCCGUCCUGAGAAGCAUAACUGUGGGUUUUGGCUUCCAAUCGUCCUUCACGGGACAAAUUAUUAUGACCUUUGACCUCAAAUCAGGUAGGGUUACCCGCUGAACUUAAGCAUAUCAAUAAGCGGAGGA